rnacentral:rRNA from 1 species
GCGAACGUUAGCGGCAGGCUUAACACAUGCAAGUCGAGCGAGAAAGGGGCUUCGGCUCCGAGUAAAGCGGCGGACGGGUGCGUAACACGUGGAUAAUCUGCCUCGUGGCGGGGGACAACAGUCCGAAAGGACUGCUAAUACCGCAUGUCAGGUCGGAAACUCCGGUUUCUGACGAAAAAGAGGGCGCCCGCAAGGGGCUCUCACCACGAGAUGAGUCCGCGUCCCAUCAGCUAGUUGGCGGUGUAAUAGACCACCAAGGCUUAGACGGGUAGCUGGUCUGAGAGGAUGACCAGCCACACUGGGACUGAGACACGGCCCAGACUCCUACGGGAGGCAGCAGUGGGGAAUAUUGGACAAUGGGCGAAAGCCUGAUCCAGCCAUGCCGCGUGAGUGAUGAAGGCCU